rnacentral:rRNA from 1 species
GAUGAACGCUGGCGGCGUGCCUAAUACAUGCAAGUCGAGCGAACAGAUGAGGAGCUUGCUCCUCUGACGUUAGCGGCGGACGGGUGAGUAACACGUGGAUAACCUACCUAUAAGACUGGGAUAACUUCGGGAAACCGGAGCUAAUACCGGAUAAUAUAUUGAACCGCAUGGUUCAAUAGUGAAAGACGGUUUUGCUGUCACUUAUAGAUGGAUCCGCGCCGCAUUAGCUAGUUGGUAAGGUAACGGCUUACCAAGGCAACGAUGCGUAGCCGACCUGAGAGGGUGAUCGGCCACACUGGAACUGAGACACGGUCCAGACUCCUACGGGAGGCAGCAGUAGGGAAUCUGCCGCAAUGGGCGAAAGCUUGACGGAGCAACGCCGCGUGAGUGAUGAAGGUCUUCGGAUCGUAAAACUCUGUUAUUAGGGAAGAACAAAUGUGUAGGUAACUAUGCACGUCUUGACGGUACCUAAUCAGAAAGCCACGGCUAACUACGUG